CCUACGGGGGGCAGCAGUGAGGAAUAUUGGUCAAUGGCCGCGAGCCUGAACCAGCCAAGUAGCGUGAAGGAAGACUGCUCUAUGGGUUGUAAACUUCUUUUAUAAAGGAAUAAAGUGAGCCACGUGUGCCUUUUUGCAUGUAUCUUAUGAAUAAGGAUCGGCUAACUCCGUGCCAGCAGCCGCGGUAAUACGGAGGAUCCGAGCGUUAUCCGGAUUUAUUGGGUUUAAAGGGAGCGUAGAUGGGUUGUUAAGUCAGUGGUGAAAGUUUGCGGCUCAACCGUAAAAUUGCAAUUGAAACUGGCAGCCUUGAGUACAGUUGAGGUAGGCGGAAUUCGGGGUGUAGCGGUGAAAUGCAUAGAUAUCACGAAGAACUCCGAUUGCGAAGGCAGCCUACUAAGCUGCCACUGACAUUGAUGCUCGAAAGUGUGGGUAUCAAACAGGAUUAGAUACCCCUGUAGUC
rnacentral:rRNA from 1 species